ACCAGACUCCUACGGGAGGCAGCAGUGGGGAAUAUUGCACAAUGGGGGAAACCCUGAUGCAGCGACGCCGCGUGAGCGAUGAAGUAUUUCGGUAUGUAAAGCUCUAUCAGCAGGGAAGAAAAUGACGGUACCUGACUAAGAAGCCCCGGCUAACUACGUGCCAGCAGCCGCGGUAAUACGUAGGGGGCAAGCGUUAUCCGGAUUUACUGGGUGUAAAGGGAGCGUAGACGGCAAGACAAGCCUGGAGUGAAAGGCGGGGGCCCAACCCCCGGACUGCUCUGGGAACUGUCUGGCUGGAGUGCAGGAGGGGUAAGUGGAAUUCCUAGUGUAGCGGUGAAAUGCGUAGAUAUUAGGAGGAACACCAGUGGCGAAGGCGGCUUACUAGACUGUAACUGACGUUGAGGCUCGAAAGCGUGGGGAGCAAACAGGAUUAGAUACCCGUGUA
rnacentral:rRNA from 1 species